rnacentral:lncRNA from 1 species
CCGGGGUGAGGAAGCCCCAGGUGAUAGCUUUCUGGAAGCCUGCUUGUCCUGAGAGUCACCCUGGAAGAUAGACCUUGUUGACCGGGGUGUCUGGAAUCUGACUACCUACGUUCUUCCAAAGUGAUGGAGUCACUACUUCACGGAGCUUUCCCUGAGUCUCCCAGUCUAACAGUUCAUUGAUCCUAUAACCCCUGCACUGGACACAUUGUUCGCCCUGCCUCACCUCUCCAGGCCAGACCACCAACUGCAAGUCUUUUCUUGGCAGACUUACUGUCCUUUGCAACCAUCAGUCUAAAGUUCACUAUUUCAUCCUCUCCAGUCACACAGCUCUUUAAAGGAAGAAACAGAACAGGCUCCAUCUUGAAAGCAGGACUCCAGCUUGGGCUCAACUGUGGACUUGGAGCUCUAUGCCCAGUAUCUACGGAAACGACGUACCAACUGGAAAACCAGACCCCUGGAUGGAAGAACCCCAGGGCUUGUACCUAGACUCUCCAUCGCCUAAAAGAAUACCUUAAUUAUCUGUGUAACCGAAUAGAAUCAUGAAUUCUAUUAUGCUUAUUGGGGUAUGACCACAGGCCUAUUGGUAAUUGCCCACUGUUAACUACCUAGGCUUAAGGCAUACGAAUCACAGGUUAACUUUGAUUGUAUCUUUCUUUUCCUUUGUUCAGGCUAGUUUCAGAGAAUUUGGGGAGAUGGAUUUGAGCACGUACACUUAGGGUAUAUAAGGUUUUCACAAAAACUGCUUGGGGUCCUUGGCUAGGAGGAGACUCUGCCUUGGGCCUGCCGGUGUAAUAAACUGCACUUCACUAUCUGCA